UGGGGAAUAUUGGACAAUGGACCAAGAGUCUGAUCCAGCAAUUCUGUGUGCACGAUGACGUUUUUCGGAAUGUAAAGUGCUUUCAGUUGGGAAGAAAAAAAUGACGGUACCAACAGAAGAAGUGACGGCUAAAUACGUGCCAGCAGCCGCGGUAAUACGUAUGUCACGAGCGUUAUCCGGAUUUAUUGGGCGUAAAGCGCGUCUAGGUGGUUAUGUAAGUCUGAUGUGAAAAUGCAGGGCUCAACUCUGUAUUGCGUUGGAAACUGUGUAACUAGAGUACUGGAGAGGUAAGCGGAACUACAAGUGUAGAGGUGAAAUUCGUAGAUAUUUGUAGGAAUGCCGAUGGGGAAGCCAGCUUACUGGACAGAUACUGACGCUGAAGCGCGAAAGCGUGGGUAGCAAACAGGAUUAGAUACCCUGGUAGUCCACGCCGUACGAUGAUUACUAGGUGUUGGGGGUCGAACCUCAGCGCCCAAGCAAACGCGAUAAGUAAUCCCGCCUGGGGAGUACGUACGCAAGUAUG
rnacentral:rRNA from 1 species